rnacentral:rRNA from 1 species
AUUGAACGCUGGCGGCAGGCUUAACACAUGCAAGUCGAGCGAGCGGCGGACGGGUGAGUAAUGUCUGGGAAACUGCCUGAUGGAGGGGGAUAACUACUGGAAACGGUAGCUAAUACAGCAUACCAUCAGAUGAGCCCAGGUGGGAUUAGCUAGUAGGGGGGGUAAUGGCCAAACUAGGCGACGAUCCCUAGCUGGGCUGAAAGGAUGACCAGCCACACUGGAACUGAGACACGGUCCAGACGCCUAGUGGAGGCAGAAGUGGGGAAGAUUGCACAAUGGGCGCAAGCCUGAUACAGUAAUGCCGCGUGUGUGAAGAAGGCCAUCGGGUUGUAAAGCACUUUCAGCGUGGAGGCGUUACUCGCAGAAGAAGCACCGGCUAACUCCGUGCCAGCAGCCGAGAUAAUUC